rnacentral:rRNA from 1 species
UACGUAGGUGGCAAGCGUUGUCCGGAUUUAUUGGGUUUAAAGGGUGCGUAGGCGGUCUAUUAAGUCAGCGGUGAAAUACUCCAGCUUAACUGGAGGGGUGCCAUUGAUACUGAUGGACUUGAGUCAAGUCGAGGUAGGCGGAAUUGACGGUGUAGCGGUGAAAUGCGCAGAUAUCGGGAAGAACACCUAUGGCGAAGGCAGCUCUCUGGGACGGUACUGACGCUGAGACGCGAAAGCGUGGGGAGCGAACAGG